AGGACGAACGCUGGCGGCGUGCUUAACACAUGCAAGUCGAGCGGAAAGGCCCUUCGGGGUACUCGAGCGGCGAACGGGUGAGUAACACGUGAGCAACCUGCCCUUAGCUUCGGGAUAGCUCCGGGAAACCGGAAUUAAUACCGAAUAUGACUGCGGCUGACAUCAGCCACGGUGGAAAGUUUUUCGGCGAGGGAUGGGCCCGCGGCCUAUCAGCUUGUUGGUGGGGUAAUGGCCUACCAAGGCGACGACGGGUA
rnacentral:rRNA from 1 species